GAAAAGGCAAGGCCUGUUAUGCUUUUUUGAUUGUAAGCAUCCCAUAUUCCAGAAAUCAUCACAAACUGACAAAUUUAAGUUCAGUGAACAGAGACCUCAUCAACCCUAACGUUGUAAAUUUGGAUGGAAGAAAUAUUGGUGGGUAGAUUGAAAAAUCUGAUUCUUUUUUUUUUCUUUCCUAAUUUUCAAUAGGUGUGUGCCAAGUAGAUGGUGGAGUAAGCAUUUUGAAGGAUGGUACAGAAGCACCAUUGUCUUUUUAGAUUGUCUUAUGCAUGGCACUUCAAAAGUUUCAUAGACGAUGCGUAUUCCGUAUCUUAUCUUAAAUUAAUCAACCAGUACGCUAGAUAUGUCGAAUGAGAGAGAUGUUCAGAGGAAACAACCUACCUUAAAUGUCAUCAUAUUGAAAAGGGAUAUUUUCC
rnacentral:lncRNA from 1 species